AUCAGAUAUGCCGUAUGUGUACUCCACUACGUACGACAGGGUGAAAACAAGUUUGAUCGAUGGAGAUGGAUUUCUAUCCUGUUGGUGCAAUUGUAUGUUCAGGGAUACAAACAACAGUGUAACGACUCUAGAAAUCUACAUCUUAAUACUGCCCUAUUUUUGGGGAUUCGAAUCUUCAUGGUUAUGAUAAUGGUUCAAAACUCCAUUUGACCUUGGAAGGGUUAUGUUCUUCAUAUGUUUUUGUAGCCCUUGCAUGAACUAUUUUAAGACAUGUUAUUUACAUUAAGGUCACCAAUGUGCACCUUUCAGUC